rnacentral:rRNA from 1 species
UACGGGGGGGGGCAAGCGUUGUCCGGAAUUAUUGGGCGUAAAGAGCUCGUAGGCGGUGUGUCGCGUCGGCCGUGAAAACCUGCAGCUUAACUGUGGGCUUGCGGUCGAUACGGGCAUCACUGGAGUUCGGCAGGGGAGACUGGAAUUCCUGGUGUAGCGGUGAAAUGCGCAGAUAUCAGGAGGAACACCGGUGGCGAAGGCGGGUCUCUGGGCCGAUACUGACGCUGAGGAGCGAAAGCGUGGGGAGCGAACAGG